GGGACGGAAUCAUGGGGCUGGGUUUACACCAGCUAUGCGAAGCCCCUCCGCUCUGCCCCCGCCUGUGAGGGGCUUUCUUGGCUGGGUCUGUUCCUGACAGAAGGGAUGCGUGUUGUCGGGGGUGGGGGGCUUGGCAUGUGUGUGUGUGUGGAGAGAGAGAAUGCGUGUGUGUGUGUGUUUAAAAUACAGAAAAAAGAAGCAUGGCUUUCCUCAGCUGCAGAGGCGGGCCGGGUUCUGUCUGUGCCAACUCCCUCAGAGCGGGCACCGUGGGGACACAGGAGGCACAGGAAGACUGCAGAGGUGAGGGAUGGGUGUGGAGAAAGAUGGACGCUUGCCAUCUCGAGUGCCAGUGGCUGCAUGAGGCCAAACCCCAUGAACAAAACCCACAGCAGAUCGCUGGCAGCCCAUGUUAGGAGACGGAAGACAGUUGGCAGCGCUGCCGCAGCCGGGGAGCAGGCGGAUGUAGGCAAGGCCAGCGUGGAACAGGCUGCUGUAAGGCGAGAAGUCUCCAUCACACUACUGCUGGGUAAUGGAUGCUCUACCUCCCUCGGGCCCAGAGCAGUGGAACCAGCUGACCCUGCGCUGAAGCUCAGGAAACUGUGAACCAGUGUGGCUCUGCCCUCUUUGAAGUUGUCGGGUCUGACACAGCAACGCAACUGUGACCAGCUGAAUGGAGCAAGCAUUUUUCAGGCGCUGCACAGACAGCCCCAAGCCACCCCAAGUUUUCCGCCUGGAGGAGGUUCUCAGGCCUCUGCUGAGUGAUGUGGGGACCACUAUGGUGCACUGGUUGUAGCAGACAGAGGAAGCAGAGGUUGGUGUUUGGGGUGCUGAGGUAUCUGCCAUUUGCGGCAUAGAGAGAAGGAAGCUGUGCAACCAAGAGGUUGGAGCUGUACCCAGGAGUUCCCUGGAACCAUGUGUGACAACAGUGGUGGAGAGGUGAUGUGGCAACUGUGACCGUGUUCAUCUGAGAAAUACUGGCUGCAGCACUGGAAAGACGAGCCUUGAGAGCAGGGUGACGAUGGCCUAGCUCAGAAGGGCCAAGCAGCUCCCUUUGUUAACAGGUUCAAAACAGCUUUGCCGGGUAAGGCUUCAGGGCUGGAACAAAUACCACCCUCUCUGUAGAAAAGAUCUCAGGGGACAGGCCCAGAGAGAGGUGACCCAGAUGUUGAAAUUAGAAGAGAAAGGUUUGAAAGGAAGACAGGCAAGCAGCUGUCCGGACCACAGAGAAACAAUGAGUAGACAUGAAGAUGGAUCCAUUUUUAAAAAUACAAGUGUAAGUUCAAACUGAAAAACCCAACAAGGCUAUAGACGUGCUUCAGCCUUUGUCUAACAGCAUGAAGCUGGAUUCGAUCCCCCAGCACAAUAUAAACCAGGCAUGAUGGGAGCUUGCACCUGUAACCCAAGAUGUGUUCACAGGAGGAUCAGAUGUUCAAGGUCAUCCUCAGCUACAGACUGAAUUUGAGGCCAUCCUGGGAUACAAGCGACCCUGUCUUUAAACCAGAACAACAGAAAUCCUCUACCUGAGGUGGAGUUCCGAGCAGUGUCGCAUGCAUGUGGGGAGGACCUGGAAGGAGCAAACAGAUUUAGAGCAGAUGAACGGUAUCAAUCCACAAAUCAAUAAAGGUCAUGUGGAAUAAAACUAAAAAUCAGGGACACACUGGCAAACUAACACCGAAUAAAGAGAAGCAGGUAGAGAGAAACAGGUGCUUCCCAGACAGGCACACGAUAAGGAAUCCUGAUGAGUGCUCAUCAGAAGCGAUGUGAGCCAGAAGGCCGCAGGAGAGAGUCUUUAAGAUGUUGAAACAAACCCAUAAACAAAGAGAAACGAAACACCCUUGGAGAAUUAAGCCGAAAUAAAGCAUUUCCCUGCAAACAGAA